rnacentral:rRNA from 1 species
CGGAGGGUGCAAGCGUUAUCCGGAUUCAUUGGGUUUAAAGGGAGCGUAGGUGGCUUUGUAAGUCAGUGGUGAAAUCUUCUCGCUUAACGAGAAAACUGCCAUUGAUACUGCAGAGCUUGAGUACAGUUGCCGUUGGCGGAAUAUGACAUGUAGUGGUGAAAUACAUAGAGAUGUCAUAGAACACCGAUUGCGAAGGCAGCUAACGAAACUGUAACUGACACUGAGGCUCGAAAGUGCGGGGAUCAAACAGGAUUAGAUACCCUGGUAGUCCGCACUGUAAACGAUGAUUACUCGCUGCUGGAGGGCAACUUUCAGUGGCUUAGCGAAAGCGAUAAGUAAUCCACCUGGGGAUACGCCGGCAACGGUG